GGCUACCUGGUGCAGUGGUAGCGCGUUUAGCUUCGAUGGCCGAUGGCUACCAAAAGGUUGCAGGUUCGAUCUUGCGGUGUUCA
rnacentral:tRNA from 1 species